rnacentral:lncRNA from 1 species
CACAUAUAACACCUUACCUCCCUGAUACUCUUUGGAAAAUUCUACCUUCCCGUUGCCUCGCAUCUAUCCUUCCCCCUCUAAGACCUUUUAUCAGCCACCAGGGCAUCCUAGAGAAGCUCCGUGCUACCUCUCACCAUCUGCUCUCUUUGCUUGUUCAUCUGAAGGACCGACAUUAUCUCCUCAUAGAUUAGUAUCUCCUUUCCGUACAACAGAAUCAUUACCAG